AGCAGCAAAAGCAGUCAGAGGACGAUGUUCCCUAGUCUAAUCUGCUCUUUCCUUCCUUCAUUCAUUCAAUCAAUCAUUCACGCAGCUGGCCAGCAGACACUGGAUGACCACCCCUGGGCCAGGCCUUGUGGCAAAUGCUACAGUAAUGACCAGACACAUCACACCCGCCUUCUAGAAGCCCUCCCUCACAAACCGGAUCAACUGCUAUGAUAAAGAGUCCUGGCUCCACAGUCUCCUUCGAUGGGCUCCUUGAUACACGAGGCUUCAUAACAUGCGCUCUUUGAAGAACCAUUUCUGAUGAUCCGAGUUGGUGCAGUCUCGUAAGAGUGGAACGAAACUGUCACUCGACUCCUUCCUCGCAGCCUGGACACAUUUCUUGGACUGUUCGUGAAAUAAAGAUCCAUCCUACAAAAGAUAACAGAAUGACAGUGUCCACUACCAUUCCUUGAGGGCUUACAAUGGCUUCUGGUUGGGAGAAAGAUGGGAAGAGGAGGACAUUCAAGAAGAUCAGAGACGUCUGGGGUGUGCAGAAGUAUUUUUCCUUCUUAUUUUCCUGUAUUCAAUAGGUAACACCAUGGUGUGUGGCUUUUCUGGGCAGCCUGCAAAUGUCAUUGCUAGUGACAACAUUUUUCUGCAGGAAAACAUAUUCCAGCUUUUAAUCAUCUUUAGAAUAAACCCAUUUAUAAGCAG
ensembl:lncRNA novel transcript, antisense to GALNT12